CAGCAGCCACGGGAAUACAGAGGGUGCGAGCGUUAAUCGGAUUUACUGGGCGUAAAGCGUGCGUAGGCGGCUUGACAAGUCUUGUGUGAAAUCUAUGGGCUCAACCCAUAGUCUGCACGGGAAACUGUCGGGCUUGAGAAUGGGAGAGGUGAGUGGAAUUUCCGGUGUAGCGGUGAAAUGCGUAGAUAUCGGAAGGAACACCUGUGGCGAAAGCGGCUCACUGGACCAUUUCUGACGCUGAUGCACGAAAGCUAGGGGAGCAAACAGGAUUAGAUACCCCAGUAGUCCCUGUCUCUUAUAC
rnacentral:rRNA from 1 species